CGCCCGCGCCUCCCCGCCCUCGCCCUCGCCGGCCGCGCCGCUACCAUAAAAGGUGACGUGGGGGAGGGGGCCGGGCCGGCGCCCCCACCUGCCCCCCCACCUGCCGGCCCGCCCCCGCCCCCGCCCCCUCCCUUUGUUCCCGGACCACUCCUCCCGCCCCUCCCCGCCUGGAGGUGGUGUCCUCCCGCCGCCCACCCCGCGAGGGGUCCUCCCCUCUCCGGGCCGGCCGGGUCACCUGGGUCGGCGGCCCCACCUUCCCGGGUCCGGUCUGUCCCGGGAUCCGCUUGGAUCUUAGCGGUCAGGCAGACCUGGCUUCUCUGGCCCUGCGCUAAAGUUGGGCCCUGGGCAGCCACUCCGACACCCCGAGCCUUGCUGUGUUCAUCUGGAAAGUGGGGGCGUCGCUGCCUACCUCUCCAGCGUGGCCUGGGGAUGAAGGCAGGGGACCGCGAGAGAGGAGCACGGGUCCGCGCCAUAGAUAAUGAGUUUGGGGCUGCUCGGGGAAUGCCCUGGGUGGGGAACGUCUAUUUGCUGUUCCCAGCGGACUCCUGCAGUCACCCUGUAGUAACAAAGGCAGGAACUCCAGUGGCUGCCAUUCACCAGGGCCGCCUGUGUGCCCACUUACAGACCGCUGCUAGUCCCGGACCUGGGCUCCAGGGCUGAUCAUUCCUGCAGCAUGGACCAGGACGCUGAGGUCCCAAGGGGUGAGGGGAGAAUUGAUUCAAGCCAGAACAGCAGGGGCCUCUGGGCACACUGGUCUGCCAGUCACAGGGACAGGAGUCACCCCCGCAGAUGCAGGAACCAAGGCUGCCCAGGCCCCGUGGCAGCCUGUACCUGCUGGGUGAGCCCUGCACUGCACCCUCUGCAGCACCCUUAGGAGAAGGCGCCCCAUGGCCCCAGCUGCAGGGAGGAGGGGCCCACUGGACACAGAGAUGGGAAGGACCUGCCUAGGGGCUGUAGGACCUCUUGUCAAGUGCUUGGUGAUGCAGGAGCUUAUUUACUUCAGGUGAACAAGACACACGCAGUAUUCCGUGAGCCACCCCACCAUGUCACCAGAGAACUGCAGAGCACCCAUGGGUUGACUUGCAGCCUGGCCCAAGGUCACAGUGACUCAGUCUAGGGUCCAGGCUCUCUGGGACAGUUUAGGGGAGGGUGGGGACCCAGGUGCCCCCACUCACCAGCUGUUCACCUCUGGCCGCCUCUCCCAGUUCCAGGCUGCUCCAGAUGGAGGGGACACCCAGGCCAACUCUCCCUCACCAGCCCUGGUGUCGGUGUCACCGAUAGGCAGGUGCCCGCCCGGUUCCAAACUUCCUGCAAUGGAAACCCAGGAAGUACACUGGGCCCUAGAACACAUGCCCUUUGUCGGCCGCUCCCAGGCCUGCUGUUCCCGCCUCCCUGCCCCAGGCUCAGGCCUGCUUUUCUGCCUCAAAUGCCCAGUGGGCAAGGGGCUGUGCUCCUGCUAGAGCCCAUGCAGCUUGGACUCCACAAACUCUGGGGGGCAUCUGCCACGUGCAGGCAGCAGGCAGGGACAAGGGGAUCGUAAGGAUCAAGUCCCCGUCUGUCCUCACCACCCAGAAUGCACAGGGAAGGAGGGGACAUGGAGCCAGGAGGCAAGUCAGUGCGACAGUCCCCAAGGGGCAUGGGAUGUGCUGUGAAGGAGGGAACCAGGGACUGAGACAGAAAAAGGAGCCCUAGGGUGGCCUCUGCCUGGAGGGGACAGCUGGGCCCAGGAUUGGGGGCUGGGGAAACUUGGCUUUGGGGGCAGACAGAGAUAGAGGCUGAAUACCCAGCUGUCUGGUGCUGGCCUUGACCUGGACAAACUCCUCCCCUGCCCCAGGCUGUUUGCCACUCGUGUGUCACCUUGGGAACGCGGAGGUGCAGACUUGCCUUUGCAGAAAUGCAGAGGACAUAGGCUCCAAGGGGCACAGCUGGGCCACGCACAAUUGGCACCUGAGAAUGGGGGCACUCACUCCUGCCUCUCUGUGCCCAGGUUUCUGGAGCAUCCUACUUGCCAUGUCCAUGUCAGGGUGGGAUGAACCCAAGCAGAGCAAAAGUUAGAUUUGUCCCCCUCUCCCGGAGUCCCACUAUGUUGCCCCUGGGCUCCCUAAACCACAGCCCCCCUCAGCUACCAGGCCCAUGUCCCUCUAUCUCACCAAGGCACAGCCCCGCUGCUGGUGACCUGGCUGUCACAACAGUGUCUGAUCCUUAAUCCCCUCCUGGUCUGGGCUUAGCAGGCUUGAGCUGGGCCUGUGGUUCCCACGCCUGCAUCCACUCAGUGAAUCUGCAGCCCUGAGGCGUGGCAGGCGGGAGACAGUGUGAAGCUGUGCCGGCACAGUCACUCAGAGGGUCCUGAUGCCCCAAGUGCACUCACUGCUUGCCCAGGCUGAGCCUGCCCCCCCAUCCCGUCUUCCUAAUUGACUGAGCCCCAUCUCACGGGAGCCUCCUCGCCCUGCCCCAUCUGUGUCCUGCCUGACAGCUCUGUCUUCGCUCCCUGGUCCUUGAGGCUCUUCCUUCCCAGGCACCCUGUGGUCGGUGGCCUGGCCUCUGGUGGCCCUGCUGGUGCCCACCUGUCUCAGUACAAGGCGAGCGGACUGCGGUGGUGGUGAAACCCCCGCUGAGGUCUCAUGCUGAAGAAUUCCAUACUCUUACACUGGAUGUGGUGGCACAUGCUUGGAAUACACAGUUCAAGGCCAACCUGGAAUACACAGUGAGAUCUUAUCUGGAAAAAGCAAACCAAACCAAAAGAAACUAAAGCCAAAAGCAGCAAGGAGAGGACGCCUGUGAAGUGUACAUUAGUCUCUGUCACUUGCUCAUGUAAAUACCUCCACCACCUGCACCACAGGGAACAAAUUCCUGCCUUCCUGUGAGCCUGUCCUUAGGAGGCCCCUGCAGCCCCCAUGAUUGCUCUUGGGCAGCCUCGGGGUCCCUGCAUGCUGCUCCUGGCCUGGGGGUGUGCAUCUCCCACCUUCUCUGCUCCAAGCUUUCCUCUUCCCCACAAGCUCCCCUCUGUGGACCGCAGCUUCCAAGCUGUCCCAAGGACCCUGUCUCCCAGGACAACCCCCCUUCUCUGGUGCAGAGACGUGGGGCCUUGCUUGGGAGGGAGACAUAAACAAAGGGAGCUUGCUGUCCAUGCAGCUUGAGGCUUCUGCCAGGCCUUCUCUCAUGUUCUUCUGGUUGCCUGCCCUGGGGGAGCUGCCUGGGACAAUUGGGAGCUCCCCAAGGAAAGCCCCAGCCUUUAGCUGCACCCCAACCUUGCUGACCCCUGGACCACAGUCUGGGAGAGCCCCGAGUCCAGGACCCAGCAGAGCUACAGCCAGAUCCCUGACCCACUGAGAAAGGAGGGCUAAGUCCCUUCGGUUUGGGGGAUGGUGCGGGUGCAGCCACAGAUGGCAAAUCGAGCCGCCGGCCUCCCCCACAUCUCUAGCCCAAACCCAGCUUUCCUUUUGCCGUCAGUAGCAGCUGCCCUGGGAGUUCAGGCUGCACACCUCACUCAUCUCUGAGGCCCCAGGCCCAGCGUUCCACAGACUGGCCUUACCUGCCAGCGCCCAGCAGGGAGGGCACAGAGCAGGCACUGCCAGCUCAGGAAGGCCAGAGCGGGGUGUCAGGUGGGGAGGCCAGCCACUCCAUCCUGGCUGGCCUGGGGCCACACCUGCUCUAAACCGGGACUGGGGACCCUGGCCUCCCCAUCUCUCUUUUUUUCAAUACUGGGACUUAAAACCAGGGCCUACUCACUGAGCUACAUCCCUGGCUCCUUUUAUUUUAUGUAUUUUAAAUUUGGGGACAGGGUCUCACUCAGUUACUCAGGCUGGACUCAAACUUUGUUUUUUGUACCGAAGAUCAAACUCGAGACCUUGCGCUUGCCAAGCAGGCAGUCGUGAGUUUGAUUCCCGGUACCGAUAAAAAGGAAAAAGACAAAAAAAAAAAAAAAAAAAAAAAGGAAAGAAUCUUAUUUUGGCCCACAUGUCCUAGAUUUUGUUUGGAAAAUGGUCCCUGUGCCCAUAAAAAGGAAAAGGCUGUUGAGUCCAGUCCCCUCCUGGGCCUGUUCCCAAUGGGUCCCAGGCCAGGCCAGGGACUGAGAGGCUGGGGUCACUUCCAGCAAACACAGGCCCUGUUUGGAACCCAGAGCCCUGCCUAGUCAGGCAGGGCUGGCCCUGGGCCUGCUCCUUGAGCCAUUUCCGCCAGACGGGGCCAUUUCCUGUCCUGAGUGACGGAGUUCAUGUCCUGGCAGGACAGCUGGGUCCUGUCUUUGGGAGGGGGCUUCCCUGGGAACUGCCCCUAGCACACAUACCCUGGAGUGUGGCCUGGGUUCCCUGUCCUGUGGGUGGCUGUUCCUGGGGACGGAGCUGAGAGCACCCACCCAGCCUCAGGUCCAGCCAGCUCCUAGCGGCCAUCAGGGGACCAUGGCAGCCUUUACAGGGAGUAAGGAACCCCUCAGAGCCCGGAACCCUCAAACACUUUCACCCAGCCUCAUUUCCUCUGGUCAUAGGACAGAGGACCGGAAGGACAGACACAAGUGCACUCUUGGGCCCUUCAUCUGUUCCCCACUACAAGCAUGAUGGGGCUUUUCUCCUGAGACAAUCGGGAACUCAAAAGCUGCUUUAGCUGAAAACUGACUUUUCACCGGGCAGAUGCCCAGCGAGUCACUAAAAGCAGAAUGAACUUGACCUUCA